rnacentral:rRNA from 1 species
UACAGAGGUCUCAAGCGUUGUUCGGAUUCAUUGGGCGUAAAGGGUGCGUAGGUGGCGCUGUAAGUCGGGUGUGAAAUUUCGGAGCUUAACUCCGAAACUGCAUUCGAUACUGCGGUGCUUGAGGACUGGAGAGGAGACUGGAAUUCAUGGUGUAGCGGUGAAAUGCGUAGAGAUCAUGAGGAAGACCAGUGGCGAAGGCGGGUCUCUGGACAGUUCCUGACACUGAGGCACGAAGGCCAGGGGAGCAAACGGGG